rnacentral:lncRNA from 1 species
GCUGACGGGUAACCCGUAGGUUAUCGAUAAGUCGGGCAAAACCGCCAAAGAUGCGGCCGCCCACGGAGGGUCGGAUAGAUAGGAUCUCCAAACCCUCCACAAAGAAACUUUAUGUUUACCACCACUAUAAACGGGUAAUCUUCUCAGAAAUGGGACUAAAAAGUCCCGAACUCUGCAGUCACAGAGAAAAGGGGCGAGAAUCUUCCCCGGUUCGAUCUCCGAUGCAGCCCACUGUCUGCGCCAGACCGGUGGGCUACCGUAGGGACGAUAUCAACCGACGCCAUGCAAUGGCUGGGCUCCAGGCGCCUUGCCAUGGCCGAAUAUCGCUCGGAUCAACUCCCUGAGGUUUUAU